rnacentral:rRNA from 1 species
AACGAACGCUGGCGGCAUGCCUAAUACAUGCAAGUCGAACGAGAUCUUCGGAUCUAGUGGCGCACGGGUUCGUAACGCGUGGGAAUCUGCCCUUGGGUUCGGAAUAACUUCUGGAAACGGAAGCUAAUACCGGAUGAUGACGUAAGUCCAAAGAUUUAUCGCCCAAGGAUGAGCCCGCGUAGGAUUAGCUAGUUGGUGGGGUAAAGGCCCACCAAGGCGACGAUCCUUAGCUGGUCUGAGAGGAUGAUCAGCCACACUGGGACUGAGACACGGCCCAGACUGAAACGCGAGGCAGGAGUAGGGAAGAGAGGAAAAAGGGGGAAAGGGUGAUAAAGCAAUGUCGCGUGAGAGAUGAAGGACAGAGGGGGGUAAAGAAGCUUGACCCGGGACGGUAAUGACAGGACCGGGAGAAUAAGCUCAGGAUAACUCCGUG